GAUGAACGCUGGCGGCGUGCCUAAUACAUGCAAGUCGAGCGAACGGACGAGAAGCUUGCUUUUCUGAUGUUAGCGGCGGACGGGUGAGUAACACGUGGAUAACCUACCUAUAAGACUGGGAUAACUUCGGGAAACCGGAGCUAAUAUCGGAUAAUAUUUUGAACCGCAUGGUUCAAAAGUGAAAGACGGUCUUGCUGUCACUUAUAGAAGGAUCCGCGCUGCAUUAGCUAGUUGGUAAGGUAACGGCUUACCAAGGCAACGAUGCAUAGCCGACCUGAGAGGGUGAUCGGCCACACUGGAACUGAGACACGGUCCAGACUCCUACGGGAGGCAGCAGUAGGGAAUCUUCCGCAAUGGGCGAAAGCCUGACGGAGCAACGCCGCGUGAGUGAUGAAGGUCUUCGGAUCGUAAAACUCUGUUAUUAGGGAAGAACAUAUGUGUAAGUAACUGUGCACAUCUUGACGGUACCUAAUCAGAAAGCCACGGCUAACUACGUG
rnacentral:rRNA from 1 species